rnacentral:rRNA from 1 species
GUCAACGCUGUAAACGAUGAGUACUAGGUGUCGCGGGUAUUGACCCCUGCGGUGCCGCAGCUAACGCAUUAAGUACUCCGCCUGGGGACUACGACCGCAAGGUUAAAACUCAAAGGAAUUGACGGGGGCCCGCACAAGCGGUGGAGCAUGUGGUUCAAUUCGACGCAAUGCGAAGAACCUUACCUGGACUAGACAACGGUGGACCGCCUCAGAGAUGAGGUUUUCCCUUCGGGGACUGCCGGUACAGGUGCUGCAUGGCUGUCGU